CUGGUCAAGGAUGAGGCUUAUACCGCCCCAGGCUGAACUCUGUGACUGAGUGGUCCCUCUGAGGCCAG
rfam:Alligator mississippiensis ScZkoYb_2987, whole genome shotgun sequence.